UCUGCAAGAAACCACCACAGCUCCAGAGUGACUGUUGACAAGGACACUGUGAUGCUAUGCCUGGCCAUGAGGAAGUGCAUAGUGGUCCUUUGGAAGAAAUUUGAUACAAAAUGAAAUCAAAGAUUGCCUACCUGGAACUUCUUUUUUUGGAUGGGAUAAGUACUGCUGAAACAAAACUGGCAGAGCACUCUCUGUGCAGGUUCACUCUGAGCUGCACCUCAGGAGGAGGAGAAGGCGGCUGCAGGAUCCUCACACAAGGAAUACAUGCGAGACAUCUCGUGGCUCUUUACUAAACAACACAAGAUGAAGGAGAUAAUCUUCUUAUUGCUUCUAUCACACUUGCAGAGUGGCAGCCCGGGAUCUGCUACCACUAGCAAGCCCUGGCCCACGACUAGGGAUGGUGAAACCCAACCAAGCCACGCAGACUUGACUUCACCUCCUACUGCAACGCACAGCCUCAGAAACCUAGUGGCAACCCCCGUAUCCACCCCUUCUGAGAUCCAAACAGCUGCAGCAAGUACAUCAUGGGAACAUGCUGUGAAAAUCACCCCUGCAUUCACAGAAGAGGCUCAGGGAUUGAAAACCCUGCCAGAGACCCAGGAGAAGAAAACCUCCACCCCACAACACAGUCCAGUGGAAACAGCAAUCGUGAUGGUGCUAAUGCUAAGCAAGGAGCCCUGUCCAACAGCACGGGGAGCUUUCCACAGAGCACUCCUAGAAAGAUGCCUCCCCAACUAGGGGCUGUUAAAAGCCAGCAAAGAACAGGGAACAGAUCUCCCAGGCUGUCGUACUACAGCGCCACCAGCACUAAGAAGGAUGCUGACUUCAAAAAAUCCAGUUUUGAAACUAGCCGGGGAAAGUAAGGAAAACUACAUAUUUUAUUCUCUUAUCUUAUGAACUGCUUAUAAAGGCCAUGGGCCAUAUCCUGGUCCUACUGAAAUCCAA